GGUACCGUCAAUAACCCAGGGUAUUAACCUGACUUAUCUUCUUCCCACUCGACAGAGUUUUACGAUCCGAAAACCUUCUUCACUCACGCGGCGUCGCUGCGUCAGGGUUGCCCCCAUUGCGCAAAAUUCCUCA
rnacentral:rRNA from 1 species